rnacentral:rRNA from 1 species
GACGAACGCUGGCGGCGUGCUUAACACAUGCAAGUCGAACGGAAAGACCCUGCUUUUGUGGGGUGCUCGAGUGGCGAACGGGUGAGUAACACGUGAGUAACCUGCCCUUGACUUUGGGAUAACUUCAGGAAACUGGGGCUAAUACCGGAUAGGAGCUCCUGCUGCAUGGUGGGGGUUGGAAAGUUUCGGCGGUUGGGGAUGGACUCGCGGCUUAUCAGCUUGUUGGUGGGGUAGUGGCUUACCAAGGCUUUGACGGGUAGCCGGCCUGAGAGGGUGACCGGCCACAUUGGGACUGAGAUACGGCCCAGACUCCUACGGGAGGCAGCAGGGGGGAAUAUUGCACAAUGGGCGGAAGCCUGAUGCAGCAACGCCGCGUGCGGGAUGACGGCCUUCGGGGUGUAAACCGCUUUCGCCUGUGACGAAGCGUGAGUGACGGUAAUGGGUAAAGAAGCACCGGCUAACUACGUG